ACGGCUGGUAGCCUAGUGGUUAGAGUGUAGGGACGGUAGGUAGCCUAGUGGUUAGAGUGUAGGGACGGCAGGUAGUCUAGUGGUUAGAGUGUAGGGACGGCAGGUAGCCUAGUGGUUAGAGUGUAGGGACGGCAGGUAGCCUAGUGGUUAGAGUGUAGGGACGGCAGGUAGUCUAGUGGUUAGAGUGUAGGGACGGCAGGUAGCCUAGUGGUUAGAGUGUAGGGACGACAGGUAGUCUAGUGGUUAGAGUGUAGGGACGGCAGGUAGCCUAGUGGUUAGAGUGUAGGGACGGCAGGUAGCCUAGUGGUUAGAGUGUAGGGACGGCAGGUAGCCUAGUGGUUAGAGU